UCAGCUGUUAGUGUCAUCCAUGUAGUGUCAGCUGUUAGUGUCAUCCAUGUAGUGUCGGCUGUCAGUGUCAUCCAUGUAGUGUCAGCUGUUAGUGUCAUCCAGUGUAGUGUCAUCCAUGAAGUGUCGGCUGUUAGUGUCAUCCAUGUAAGUGUCAGCUGUUAGUGUCAUCCAUGUAGUGUCGGCUGUUAGUGUCAUCCAUGUGGUGUCAUCCAUGUAUUGUCAGCUGUCAGUGUCAUCCAUGUAGUGUCAGCUGUUAGUGUCAUCCAUGUAGUGUCAUCCAUGUAGUGUCCACUGUUAGUGUCAUCUAUGUAGUGUCAGCUGUUAGUGUCAUCCAAGAAGUGUCAGCCGUCAGUGUCAUCCAUGUAGUGUCAGCUUUCAGUGUCAUCCAUGAAAUGUCAGCCAAUAGUGUCACCCAUGUUGUGUCAUUAAAACAUGCUUAUUUUUUCAUCUUUUGUUUUC